GGCCAUGGUCAUACUCUCACAAACAGCUGCCAUCUGACUACCCCUUAGAUCUAGAGGUACCACCUAUCAGAGAUAUCACCUUCCCUUGAAAGAAUGGACCCAAGGGUAAGAUCCGUGAACAUGCUGAAAAUACAACUGGGACCAUGUGAAAAGGAAAUUCUGAAGUGUCAGGUACCUAAGCACAGACCAGUGGGAUCUGGGAGCAGAAUGCAAAUAUCCAACUCCUCUUAGUCUACACCUUUGAGAACUAAAGGGAGAAGGAAGAAGAGGUCAACUGGAGUCAGAAAAAAGACUAAUGGACCUCUGGAAUAGCAACACUCUUUGGAACAUCUUUGUUCUUCAGCCUGUUAACUGAAGCAAAUUCAAGGCAAGACACCUCUCAGAUCCAUUUCAGACUGGCAUGCCACCAACUUGGAGAUGAAUGGAAUCAGAAACAAAAGGCCUUAUCAUCAUGGCAAGCAUACGAAGAUAAAGGCUAGAGAGAUACGGCAAAUUUUAUCCUAAGAGUAUAGAUGCGAGACUCACCCUGGAACUCUGUAGAUAACUGGUUUUACUGAGUAAAAAAGGCCUCCUAAUUCAACUUACCUGGACAAAAAAAAUAAAGUGCUUGAAAGAUGUAUUGAGAUGUGCUUCCUCCUGAAGCUGGAUCACAGGGUCGAAAUGCUGAUGAUAAAUGUGAGCAUAAACCCUAAAGAGGCGUUUGAGGAUAGUUUUUGCCACAGACAUGAAAUUCUUCGGGAAUGGGACACCUAAUAAAUAGAUAAAUAACCCUCUCUAUUAACAAGAGACAAGAACAAGGUAGUAUGAGUUUAUCAACAAAAGGCAAUAUAAAGUAACAAGACGAAGCUCAAAAGUAUUUGUGAAUUAUUACCAAAUACCCACUGUACUU